rnacentral:rRNA from 1 species
AGGGUGUAAACGCUGCAGACUUGGUGUUGGAAAUCCUUCGAGGGUAUUCAGUGCCGGAGAGAAGUUGUUAAGUCUGCUACUUGGGGAGUACGUCCGCAAGGAUGAAACUUAAGGAUUGGCGGGGGAGCACCGCAACGGGAGGAGCGUGCGGUUUAAUUGGAUUCAACACCGGAAAACUCACCAGGGGAGACUGUUACAUGAAACCCAGACUAAUGAUCUUGGUUGAUUUUCAGAGAGGUGGUGCAUGGCGUCAGUGACU